UACGGGGGGGAGCAAGCGUUUGUUCGGAUUUACUGGGCGUAAAGGGCGCGUAGGCGGCCACCGCAAGUCGACUGUGAAAUCUCCGGGCUUAACCCGGAAAGGUCAGCCGAUACUGCGGGGCUAGAGUGCAGAAGGGGCAACUGGGAAUUCUCGGUGUAGCGGUGAAAUGGCGUAGAUAUCGAGAGGAACACCUGCGGCGAAAGGCGGGUCUCUGGGGCAAUUCCUGACGCUGAGGCGCGAAAGCGUGGGGAGCAAACGGG
rnacentral:rRNA from 1 species